AUUUAGCACAUGGCUGCAUUAGGGAUUGCAGCGGCAUCCUUUUUGCUGAAUUUAUAAAUUAGUUUUUUGAUAAGUCUGCUUCCUCACAAAAACCUAAAUUAAAAACAAACAUAGGCUAUUUUGCAAAAAGAUAUAGCGAAAAGCCCGACCUGAA
rfam:Algibacter lectus DNA, contig: contig00002, strain: JCM 19300.